ensembl:lncRNA
GGCAGCGGGAUGCGCCUGGCACUAGACUCUCAGCCCACUCCUUUGACAGGUAGCUGAAUCUCAACCUCAGCAAGAAGAAGCUCUCCCCCAUCCCCAAGUACCAAAAUACCGUGUUUCCCCGAAAAUAAGACAGUGUCUUAUCUUAAUUUUUGCUCCCAAUGAUGCGCUAGGUCUUAUUUUCAGGGGAUGUCUUAUUUUUCCAUGAAGAAAAAUCCACAUUUAUUGUUGAACAAAAAAAAAUGAACAUUUAUUAUAUACUGUACAGUAGUUGUCAUCACAAACCAGCAAAACCAGACAAACUGUGGAUCCUAUCAAGAAUUUCUUGUUACUAUUUAUUUAUUUAUUUAUUUAUUUACAGUAUUUAUAUUCUGCCCUUCUCACCCUGAAGGGGACUCAGGGUGGAUCACAUUGUACACAUAUAAGGCAAACAUUCAAUGCCAUAUAACAUAGAACAGAGACAGAGACAGAUGCAGAGGCAAUUUAAACCUUCUCCAGCUUCCAGCUUUCUGAGGGUAUGCUUGAUGCUGGCCACGGGGUAGCAGCUGCUUCAUCAUCCACUGUGACGGCACUUCCUCAUUCCAACGGUAGCUGGGUGAUUUUUAUGGUGUCAUAAAUUAGCCUCCCCACAUAUAAGUGGUACCUAAAUUUCCUACUUGAUAGAUGCAACUAUCUUUCGGGUUGCUUAGGUCAGCAACGAGCAGGGGCUAUAUUUUAUUUUUAAUUGUCAGGUGCUCAUCCCAACACGGGCUGGCCUCAAACUCAUGACCUCUUGGUCAGAGUGAUUUAUUGCAGCUGGCUGCUAACCAACCUGUGCCACAGCCCGGCCCCAAGUCACUCUCUUUCAACCACAGGAGAAGGUAAGGGCAACGCCCUUAUAUGCAAAACUGAGAAAGCCCCAUGAUAACUUAACAUUAGGUUUCCAUAAGUGAGAAAUAGUUUUAUUUUAAGAUUGGACAGGACUUGAAGACAGCAACAACGUAUUCUCUACAACAGAGAUUUCCAAAGUGUGUCGGGAUACAUUAGUGUGUCGCCUGCAGUGCUUAGGUGCUAAUAAAAAAUCUUUGAAUCUAUGCUAAAAAAGCAAUAAAUCACAUAUUUUCAAAAAAUAUAAAUGAGAGGUUUUCAUGAGCUAUGUUGUGUCCCCAUACAUUUCAUUAUUAGAAUGUAUGUAUGUGCCUGUUUAUAUUAUAAGGGGUUGAUUGAACCUUUGGUUUGCUAGUAAAACUGAAUUACCGUGUUGCAAAAUUAUACAUGUCAAAAGUGUGUCACCAACAUGAAAUGUUUGGAAAGCACUGCUCUGUGCUGUUGAAUCAUGAAUGUGCUUCAGUUAUGAAAGUAGGUUAGUUAUUCAUGAUUGCGGUGCCGAAUUCCAGCAUUUAUAAGCUGACCUGAGUCCUGGUAAAACUGAAUUAUAGUGUCGUGAAAUUUUGCAUGUUACAAGUGAGUCACCAACAUUAAAUUUCUGGAAAUCUCUGCACUUUACUGUUGAAUCAUGAAUGUGGUUCAGUUAUGAACAUAGGUUAGUUAUUCAUGAUUGUGGUGCCGAAUUCCAGCAUUUAUAAGCUGACUUGAGUCCUGGUAAAACUGAAUUACUGUGUCGUGAAAUUAUGUAUAUUAAAGUGAGUCACCAACAUGAAAUUUCUGGAAAGCUCUGCUCUGUACUGUUGAAACAUGAAUGUGCUUCAGUUACGAACAUAGGUUAGUUAUUUAUGAUUGUGGUGCCGAAUUCCAACCUUUAUAAGCUGACUUGAGUCCUGGUAAAACUGAAUUACAGUGUCGUGAAAUUGUGCAUGUUACAAGUGAGUCACUAACAUGAAAUUUCUGGAAAGCUCUGCACUUUACUGUUGAAUCAUGAAUGUGGAUCAGUUAUGAACAUAGGUUAGUUAUUCAUGAUUGUGGUGCCGAAUUCCAACCUUUAUAAGCUGACUUGAGUCCUGGUAAAACUGAAUUACAGUGUCGUGAAAUUGUGCAUGUUACAACUGAGUCACCAACAUGAAAUUUCUGGAAAGCUCUGCUCUGUACUGUUGAAUCAUGAAUGUGCUUCAGUUACUAACAUAGGUUAGUUAUUCAUGAUUGUGGUGCCGAAUUCCAACCUUUAUAAGCUGACUUGAGUCCUGGUAAAACUGAAUUACAGUGUCGUGAAAUUGUGCAUGUUACAAGUGAGUCACCAACAUGAAAUUUCUGGAAAGCUCUGCUCUGUGCUGUUGAAUCAUGAAUGUGGUUCAGUUAUGAACGUAGGUUAGUUAUUCAUGGUUGUGAUGCCGAAUUCCAGCCUUUAUGAGCUGACUUGAGUCCUGGUAAAACUGAAUUACCAUGUCGUGAAAUUAUGUAUGUUACAAGUGUGUCACCAACAUGAAAUUUCUGGAAAGCUCUGCUCUUUACUGUUGAAUCAUGAAUGUGGAUCAGUUACUAACAUAGGUUAGUUAUUCAUGAUUGUGGUGCCGAAUUCCAGCCUUUAUAAGCUGACUUGAGUGUUAAUGUGGGAUU